rnacentral:rRNA from 1 species
AGAGUUUGAUCAUGGCUCAGAAUGAACGCUGGCGGCAGGCCUAACACAUGCAAGUCGAACGAGGUAGCAAUACCUAGUGGCGGACGGGUGAGUAACACGUGGGACGUACCCUUUGCUACGGAAUAGCCCGGGAAACUGGGAGUAAUACCGUAUGAGCCCGAGAGGGGAAAGAUUUAUCGGCAAAGGAUCGGCCCGCGUUGGAUUAGGUAGUUGGUGGGGUAAUGGCCUACCAAGCCGACGAUCCAUAGCUGGUUUGAGAGGAUGAUCAGCCACACUGGGACUGAGACACGGCCCAGACUCCUACGGGAGGCAGCAGUGGGGAAUCUUAGACAAUGGGGGAAACCCUGAUCUAGCCAUGCCGCGUGAUCGAUGAAGGCCUUAGGGUUGUAAAGAUCUUUCAGGUGGGAAGAUAAUGACUGUACCACCAGAAGGAGCCCCGGCUAACUCCGUG